UGCAGUAACUACGGUGGAAGGUAAUUGCUACAGCUAACCAACUAUGUAAAACGAAAAUUCACCGUUGUUAAAAACAUGCCUAGUUUGCCUGGUGCCUCCACUUCUAUUCUUGCGAUACCAAUAUUGGCUCCUCUCGGUUUUGUUACUACCAUUCAAUUAAUUGUAGAUAUCCUGUUUUAAAAAGUCUGAGAAGCUAGCUGGCUAGCAAGACUGGUAUUAAUAGCUUUACUUGCAAACACAUACACUAUCUGGAUAGCAGGCUCGAUCACGGAGAGAGAAUGAUGUUGUGCGUGCCAUUUAAAAAUGUUGACAGUGGUAUAGCAAGUGGCUAGCUUUCUUAACAUCAUCAUCGCUAAUGUGACGUACCCAGCUACCAAUAUCCACUCGUAGCUGAUACCACACUGUACGUACCACACCAACAAUAGUCAUCGCUUUUUUCCGUUAUCUGGUUACUCAGUCAUGUGUGCAUGCGUGUAAUUCCAGACGGAGCCACACGGCGGCAGGCUAAAACCAGAUUAAGGUGUGUGACUGCGAGGCUGCAAGGCUCCAAGGGAGACGUCUGAGAUAAAAAAAAAUUAAAUAAUAAUAAUAAAAUGGAGAUGAGCCAGUUGGAGGCAUCCAAUUUCAUACUGCUGUAAUAUCUGCAUUCAGUGGAUGCAUCACUACGUUCAAGCCCAAUGCCAUGACGCAACCGGGAGGCCUAGAUGCACCACCCUGGUUCCUCCUGAGAUUUAUUCCCACAUGGGAGUUUUUUCCUUGAUAACAUUUGUGUGUGUUUUAUUACCACUGGGGAGUUUUAUUUUAACCUCUAUUUUUGCUCGCUUUUUGAGGGCUCAGGUUUCAUAUUCUGCCCAAUUUUCUUCUGCAUUUCCACCGUAAAGCGUCUUUGUGACAGUGUCUCUGUGAAGAGUGUUAUAAAAAUAAAAUAAAAUUGAAUUGAA